GUGUUUGUUCCUUGGCAAGGAGCACGUGUCAGUUUGACAAGGUUGGAAGGUUCUUAAGGGGCCACAAAUCAGUUGCUGUUGCCAGUGGGAAGAAGGUGACUGGUUAUUGACACAAGCAGUGAAGUGAAGGGAACAGUUUUACCUCAGACAUUCCUCUAGGGGAGGGGCAGAGUCUGCUCUUUGGACAGUGCUCAGAUUUACAAGAAUGGAGUUCUUUAGACCUUCUGUGUAACUUGCCUGUAAGCUUUUUGUUGUUUUCAAGACCUCUUGUACAUAAGUGACCUGGCAGCUAUGGAGUGGGUCUGUAUUUACAAAGGUGGCUGAGUUCUGGUACUUGGCAGGUAGAGAAGAUACUACUCUAGGGACAAGUGGUUCUGCUACAAAGCUGGCCUUCAGUUGUUAGGCAUGGGUGGUGUUCUUAGCUCAUCCUCCACACUGUGAAGACAGGUUUUCCCUCUCAAGAGUAAUCUCACUGACUGUUACAAGGCCAGACACUGUAGCCUUCAGAUUGAUGCUGUUUGGAUGACUGCUGUAAAAUGUAAAUGCCCAGGAUGAGAUCAGUGGAAGCAGCUCUUUGGAGUUCACCCUCGUGUGGGAACCUCAGCUAAGGAAGUGAACUCUGUAGUCAUUAGGAGCAAGGUUCCCUCAUCUCCCAGAUUCCUGCUUGAGGAGAACCUUGUAUUUUGUUUCAGGAUAAUCUCAGGGGAUAAAUUCCCCAGCAGUCAUAUUUGGACCCUCAAAGCUAGACUGCUGUGGGUCCCCUCCUUCCCUCCAGCAGCACCUCAGAGUGGAGCUAAAACUAAUUAUACAGGAGGUCUGAGUGAAUUGCUCUAGUGAUAGGUCAGUAAUUGGGAUGGUGUCCCUUAGUCCUGUCUACACUACAGGUGAUUCUAGUCCUGACAGAGCCUGUCAGCUUCAGGUGCCAGUGCAGACAGGCCAUUCCUGGCUGGAGAACAGAUCAUUUACACACAUUCCCACCACAUCACUGAUACUCAGACCUCGAGCUGAGCCUGUGAUUCAAGCAUGUUUGAAUGGCAGGUGCUCUAAUAGAUACUGGGUUUGGUUUUUUUUCCCCCCCAGUACUAGUACAAAGCUACUGACUUGCAGUAACCUUUGUCAGCUACAGAUCCUGCAGGAUGAGCAGAGUUUCUACUUCUGGUGCCUGCAGGGCAUUCUGAGUGAUCAGUUUUUACCUGUUAGUUGCACACUGCACUUUCAUAUCAUUUCAUUCCCUCCUCUCCCUAGCUCAGGGUCUGUUCCCACCUGCAGGAAGAGACAAAUUGCAAAUUAAAAAGAAAGGGGGUACCAAUAUCUAUGGUUUUGCUUCUUAAAUUAGCAAGUUAGCAAUUGAUACCAAAGGAAUUUGUUAUUCUCUCAAUUAAAUUGAGGAUUAAGAAAAGUCUGCUGCAGAGGCUGAGCAUUCUUUGUGUUGAAAAUUUGAACAAAUCUUUUACUUCCUUCUAAAACAAACUUAAGAUACUGAAAAAUAAGUUAUUUUAGCACAUGUCCAUUUAAUGCAUGCUUAUAUUGACAGGCAGGUGUGUUUUUCAGCAAGGUACACUAUUCCAGAACAGGAAUUUUAACAAGAUAAAAGGACAUUGAAACUGGUUUUAGCAUAUAUAUUUUUUUUUAAUAUCUAUUUGCCAUUUGGGGUUCACUAGUGUUGUGUGCAUAUAUGUGUUUUAAUGCUUGCAAUGUAUUUAUUGAUAAUUAUUGAACAUGCAUUAUGUAUAGGAAAAAUAAGCUAAAUGUCACUUGAAACUUGCUUGAGGAGGUACUGUAACAUCUGUGAGAACUACAUAAUCAAGCAGAGCUUGAGUUUUUUGGUGCACAAGCCAUUGUUUCAAGUGCUGGCAGCUGAAGUGCAGCUCAAAAAGUCUGCUGCACAUCCCUCCAGCUCAUCAGGAUGUUCUGUCCACCCAGUCCUGCCAGAAGCUGUGUCCAUGGAAGCAGUUUACAUUGUUCAUGUUGACUCUCUCUGCCCACAACCCCCAUCCCUGAACCCCAAAAAAAUAGUGUUACUGUUUGCUGGCAAAACUAAUGGCAGAGAAAUGCUGGGCUUCAAUCUGAUACUUCACCCCAUGCAAGACACUAAUAUACAGAUAAUUAAUAGUUGAAAAAUUCUAAUUACAAUACCAAUCAACAAGGAAGACCUCAUAGAUCUGUGUGCUUUACUAAGUCCUCUUAAUUUUCUUACAGACAUCCCCUGACUGCAAUUCUAGCACUUCAAUUUCUAUUUAACUGGAGCAGUCCAUGAAAGUGGGGGGGGGAAAAAUGAAGUCUGUAGGUUAUUUUUUGUUACUGUAAAAGCAAAUCAAAUCAUCCUGGAGAGGGGACACAUCCCACCUGGUGUGUGGAAAAAAACCCAGAGCAACUUUUAACCCAGGAUUAUUUUGUUGUAUUUUACUAGAAAGGAUUUGCACGUGCAAGACCUGGUGGUGUUAUUUGGGAUGAUCCAGAAGCACUUGAGAGUCACAACAGUUUUAACACUGAAAAGUUUCUGCCCAUUUUUUUUCUAAAGGAAAAUAUAAAGCACAUUCUGAACAAUGUAUUAAUUGAAUAUUUUAAAAGUAGUAAUUCAAAGCUGUCUUUCCUACCUUCUCAGGAGCAGGUUCCAUAUUUCCUGACCUGUUUCCUGUUUGUCUUGAAGGUCAGGAGGAAGAAUCUGAACUUCAGCAGGUCCAGCAUUUAGAAGGAUGUACAGAACACGCUGCCUACAAGACCCCAGUCUGGUGCUACACAGACCUGUGUGAGAUUUGCUUCUGCCUUGGAACUGGAACUGCUUCCUGCCAACAUCUUCUGCCAGUCCUGACUUUCUACCACAGACUAUUUAGCUCCUGUCUAGUACAACUUGGAAACUCAGCCUGUCCCCUCUGAAGCUGCAGGAUGCCACAUACUAAGUGUGCCUUUAUGAACCCGAGGGGGUGUGGGGUCCUGGGCUGAGUCUCUUUUCAACAAGUGAAGGAAAUUGCACAUGUAUUUAUAUUUUUGCAGCCACACAACAUGACCCCUUGGGAGCAGGGUGUGGCACAGAGUUGGUUUGCUCAGCAUUUAUGCAGGAAAGAAACUGCUGGAAACCUGAAGCUGCCUGUAGCCAUGAAAGCUCUUGUGUUAGUGCAUUGUAGAUGUAUUUAUGUCCUCCUGCGUGUGCCUGUGUUGGCCAAAGGAUCUGUGUGCUGUGAUUUUUUAAUAAAAGACUUUUGCUGUA